rnacentral:rRNA from 1 species
UACGGAGGAUGCGAGCGUUAUCCGGAUUUAUUGGGUUUAAAGGGAGCGUAGGCGGGUUGUUAAGUCAGUUGUGAAAGUUUGCGGCUCAACCGUAAAAUUGCAGUUGAUACUGGCAGUCUCGAGUUCAGACGAGGUAGGCGGAAUAAGUUAAGUAGCGGUGAAAUGCUUAGAUAUAACUUAGAACUCCGAUAGCGAAGGCAGCUUACCAGACUGCGACUGACGCUGAAGCACGAGAGCGUGGGUAGCGAACAGG